rnacentral:rRNA from 1 species
CCCUUAGAGUUUGAUCAUGGCUCAGGACGAACGCUGGCGGCGUGCUUAACACAUGCAAGUCGAACGGAGCCUAUCGAAUGAAGUUUUCGGAUGGAAUUUGAGAAAGCUUAGUGGCGGACGGGUGAGUAACGCGUGAGGAACCUGCCUUUCAGAGGGGGACAACAGUUGGAAACGACUGCUAAUACCGCAUGACGCAAUAGUAUCGCAUGAUACAGUUGCCAAAGAUUUAUCGCUGAAAGAUGGCCUCGCGUCUGAUUAGAUAGUUGGUGGGGUAACGGCCUACCAAGUCGACGAUCAGUAGCCGGACUGAGAGGUUGAACGGCCACAUUGGGACUGAGACACGGCCCAGACUCCUACGGGAGGCAGCAGUGGGGAAUAUUGCGCAAUGGGGGAAACCCUGACGCAGCAACGCCGCGUGAAGGAAGAAGGUCUUCGGAUUGUAAACUUUUGUCUGCAGGGAAGAUAAUGACAGUACCUGUGGAGGAAGCUCCGGCUAACUACGUGCCAGCAGCCGCGGUAAUACGUAGGGAGCGAGCGUUGUCCGGAAUUACUGGGUGUAAAGGGUGCGUAGGCGGGUAUGCAAGUCAUAUGUGAAAUACCGAGGCUCAACUUCGGAACUGCAUAAAGAAACUGCAUAUCUUGAGUGCAGGAGAGGUAAGCGGAAUUCCUAGUGUAAGCGGUGAAAUGCGUAGAUAUUAGGAGGAACACCAGUGGCGAAGGCGGCUUACUGGACUGUAACUGACGCUGAGGCACGAAAGCGUGGGGAGCAAACAGGA